rnacentral:ncRNA from 1 species
UUUCGCUCGGUUAGCGGACGUCGCGACCCGUUGGGCGCCGGCCGAUUGGCCCGGGUGACGUUCGUCGCGUCGGUCGCGUUUCGGCGUGACCGUUCGCGCCGAGCCCCGGUGCUCAUGGUCGGCUCGCCCGACGGCAAGAACCGUCGACGCGGCCCCGUCGCAGGCGGGGUCCCGUCGGUCGGCGACGUGUUUCGAGCUACUUUCCGACCCGUCUUGAAACACGGACCAAGGAGUCUAACGUGUGCGCGAGUCAACGGUGAUCUUACGAAAAACCACGUUUGGCGCAAUGAAAGUGAACCGUUUACGGUGCGGACGAUGGCCUAGCGACCGAACCCACCGGCGUUCAAAGUCGCGCUGGUCCGCAGUCCGGGGGCGUCUCCGCCAAGUCGGCUUCGGCCGGCUGGGGGCGCACCCUUAGCGCACACGUUGGUACCCGAAAGAUGGUGAACUAUGCCUGGCCAGGAUGAAGUCAGGGGAAACCCUGAUGGAGGUCCGCAGCGAUUCUGACGUGCAAAUCGAUCGUCUGAGCUGGGUAUAGGGGCGAAAGACUAAUCGAACCAUCUAGUAGCUGGUUCCAUCCGAAGUUUCCCUCAGGAUAGCUGGCGCCGAUGUGUCCCGCCCGUUCGCGGGCGUACGGACGCCGGUGGGACUCCGCGCUGUACGGCGCGGUAACAACACGCUCGUAACACGGAGGAUGUCUCAUACGGUAAAGCGAAAUGAUUAGAGGACAUUGGGGCCGAAACGACCUCAACCUAUUCUCAAACUAUAAAUGAGUGAGAUCGCCGGCUUUACCUGGUACACCGCGUGAACCGCGUGCGAAGCCGGCGACGGAACCCUAGGCGCUUAGUGGGCCAUUUUUGGUAAGCAGAACUGGCGCUGCGGGAUGAACCGAACGCCGAGUUAAGGCGCCGAAAUCGACGCGUAUUCAGAGACCAUGAAAGGCGUUGGUUGCUGAUGACAGCAGGACGGUGGCCAUGGAAGUCGGAAUCCGCUAAGGAGUGUGUAACAACUCACCUGCCGAAGCAACUAGCUCUGAAAAUGGAUGGCGCUGGAGCGUCGUGCCUAUACUCGGCCGUCGACGGCAUAGUGGGGCCAGUCGUCGCUCGCGGCGGCCGGUCCCGGCAAGCCUCGACGAGUAGGAUGGCGCGGCGGUGUGCGUCGAAGGGCAGGUCGCGAGACCGCCUGGAGCCGCCGUCGGUGCAGAUCUUGGUGGUAGUAGCAAAUACUCGAGAGGGGCCCUCGGGGGCUGCCGUGGAGAAGGGUUUCUUGUGAACAGCCGUUGUCCAAGAGUCAGUCGAUCCUAAGCCCGGGGAGAGAUCCUCGUACCACGGGCGAAGGCGUUUUCGAAUCGCCCUUGGGGCGAGAGGGAAUCCGGUUCGUAUUCCGGAACCCGACGCGGAACCGCUCCCUAGUGUUCGGGGCUCUUUUGUCUCGUCUGGGUAACCAGAAUGAACUCGAAGAAGCCGCCGGGGGAUCUGGGUAGAGUUCUCUUUUCUCUGUGAGCGUUGUACGUCCCUGGAAUCCU